GGACCCGCACAAGCGGUGGAGCAUGUGGUUUAAUUCGAUGCAACGCGAAAAAACCUUACCUACUCUUGACAUACUUGGGAGCUCUUGUAAUGAGAGUGUGCCUUUUGGAACCAAGAUACAGGUGCUGCAUGGCUGUCGUCAGCUCGUGUCGUGAGAUGUUCCGUUAAGUCGGAUAACGAGCGCAACCCUUACCCUUAUUUGCCAGCGAUUCGGUCGGGAACUAUAAGGGGACUGCCGGUGAUAAACCGGAGGAAGGUGAGGACGACGUCAAGUCAUCAUGGCCCUUACGAGUAGGGCUACACACGUGCUACAAUGGGGAAUACAGAAAGCAGCCACUAUGCGAAUAGGAG
rnacentral:rRNA from 1 species